rnacentral:rRNA from 1 species
CCUACGGGUGGCAGCAGUGGGGAAUAUUGCACAAUGGGCGCAAGCCUGAUGCAGCCAUGCCGCGUGUGUGAAGAAGGCCUUCGGGUUGUAAAGCACUUUCAGCGGGGAGGAAGGCGGUGAGGUUAAUAACCUCAUCGAUUGACGUUACCCGCAGAAGAAGCACCGGCUAACUCCGUGCCAGCAGCCGCGGUAAUACGGAGGGUGCAAGCGUUAAUCGGAAUUACUGGGCGUAAAGCGCACGCAGGCGGUCUGUCAAGUCGGAUGUGAAAUCCCCGGGCUCAACCUGGGAACUGCAUUCGAAACUGGCAGGCUAGAGUCUGGUAGAGGGGGGUAGAAUUCCAGGUGUAGCGGUGAAAUGCGUAGAGAUCUAGAGGAAUACCGGUGGCGAAGGCGGCCCCCUGGACAAAGACUGACGCUCAGGUGCGAAAGCGUGGGGAGCAAACAGGAUUAGAUACCCCAGUAGUC